rnacentral:rRNA from 9 species
CCCACCUGACCCCAUGCCGAACUCAGAAGUGAAACGCCGUAGCGCCGAUGGUAGUGUGGGGUCUCCCCAUGCGAGAGUAGGGAACUGCCAGGCA